rnacentral:lncRNA from 1 species
CAUUAAUUGAAGUAAGUGGAUAUUUUAUUUCCUGGAAAUGAGCAUCAUCUCCCCAAAGCCUUGACUUUGGGGCUCAGAAUUCUGAUCGUGCCCUAGAGCCUUGCAUGUUUGGCCAGAUUACAUAGAUCCAGUGUGUGUGUGUGGGGGUGGGGGUUGUGUCUGUGUUGGGGGUCAUUCUCUGACUGCACCCAUUUGCUUAUACUAUUAUAAAGAAGAAACAUGUUUUUAACUGUAUGCGACAUCGCCCCCCCCCCCCCCCCCCCCCGCCGGCUGUUGGCUGCCUUUCCUGACUGUGCUGCUCCCUCGGAUGCGCCUCCAGCAGAAGUGAGCUCAGAAGCAGUCUAACCUCUGGGGCUGGAGACCUCGCCUCACGUCCCUGCUGCUGUGGACGAGUCCGAGACGGACAGGCCUCAGAAAAAAAAUUGAGUUUCCUGGAAUCUCUAUGGUCUAAUGCAUCCCGAGAAGAGACAUUGUCUCCCAAAUCCAAAUGGAAAACAAUAGGAAAUGUCUGCGUUGGAAUUCACAAAACCUCCACAGCACUCCUCAGAGGCACCUGCUAUGAACUUGGAUUUAUUUUUUACAUGUAGUUAAUGGCACAGAAUAAGGAAUCCCAUCGAUUCUAGACAGGCUGUCUGGCAUCAAAAAUUAAAAAACGAAACUAUUGAGGGACACCUGGGUGGCUCAGUUAUCUCAGUUAGUUAAGCGUCUGCCUUCGGCUCAGGUCAUGAUCUUGGGGUCCUGGGAUCGAGUCCCGCCUCGGGCUCCCUGCCCAGUGGAGGGGUCUACUCCUCCUUCUCCUUCUGUCCCUUUAAAGAAAAGAAACUAUUGAAAGCAAAGCUCCCAUUUGGCACAAAUAAUUGAAUGAUAUAGUUAAUUAAAUUGUGGGGCAGCCCUGGUGGCUCAGUGGUUUAGCGCCUGCCUUCAGCCCAGGGUGUGGUCCUGGGGUCCCGGGAUCGAGUCCCACAUCCGGCUCCCUGUGUAGAGCCUGCUUCUCCCUCUGCCUGUGUCUCUGCCUCUCUCUGUGUCUCUCAUGAAUAAAUAGAUAAAAUUUUAAAUAAAUAAAAUAAUAAAUAAAUAAAUAAAUAAAUAAAUAAAUAAAUAAAUAAAUUGUAACCAUUAUAUCUAAAGUGUAAUAGGGCUUUCUGAUUUUGUUGGCCUCGAAGUAAAUCUCCUUCCCUGACUCCGGAGAGCGCAGGGACCAGGUGCGGGCAUGCUCGGCGUCCUCCCGAGGGCGUGAAUUCCAGAAAGCCUGGGUUUGAUUCUUAGCCCUAAGAUGACCAGCUCUGGAAACCUGGUUCUUUGAUGAUCAGAUCAUUUUUUUUUAUUUAUCUGUGGAAAAAGCAUCAGAGCGGCCGUCGGGUCCCACCCAGAACCUGAGAAGACGUGCGGAGGGGCUCCGUGAACGAGCGCAGGCGGCGAGGAGCCCCUCUGCCCCGCGCUGACCCUCGCAUGGAGGGCAUCCCCACAAGGCAACCUGACGCUCCUGAUUGUGUCACCAGAAAAUAGAAGUGGGGCUUAGAGUGUGCAGAGCGAGAGGAACGGUCAGGUACGGAGAUACCGGGCUUGGGGCCCAGCAACCCCAACCCAGUGAUGGCCUCGAUCCCGAGCCCUGCAUCUAGACGGGCUGCGCUCCCUCUGUCUUUCACCGACAGCUGUGAAAUCACACUGGCUACGCACAAGUGAAAACUCUCAAAGAUUUCGGGACCAGUCGCC